CAGGCCUAACACAUGCAAGUCGAGCGGUAACAGGUCUAGUUUACUAGAUGCUGACGAGCGGCGGACGGCUGAGUAACGCGUGGGAACGUGCCCCAAAGUGAGGGAUAACCGCUCGAAAGAGUGGCUAAUACCGCAUAUGAUCUUCGGAUUAAAGGAUUUAUCCGCUUUGGGAGCGGCCCGCGUUAGAUUAGGUAGUUGGUGAGGUAAAGGCUCACCAAGCCGACGAUCUAUAGCUGGUCUGAGAGGAUGAUCAGCCAGACUGGGACUGAGACACGGCCCAGACUCCUACGGGAGGCAGCAGUGAGGAAUCUUCCACAAUGGGGGCAACCCUGAUGGAGCAACGCCGCGUGCAGGAUGAAGGCCUUCGGGUUGUAAACUGCUUUUAUGAGUGAAGAAUAUGACGGUAACUCAUGAAUAAGCACCGGCUAACUACGUGCCACCAGCCGCGGUCAUACGUAUGGUGCAAGCAUUAUCCGGAGUGACUGGGCGUAAAGAGUUGCGUAUGUGGUUUAUUAA
rnacentral:rRNA from 1 species